GACGAACGCUGGCGGCGUGCUUAACACAUGCAAGUCGAACGAGAAUCUGUGGAAAGAGGAUUCGUCCAAUUGAAGCAGAGGACAGUGGCGGACGGGUGAGUAACGCGUGAGGAACCUGCCUUUCAGAGGGGGACAACAGUUGGAAACGACUGCUAAUACCGCAUAACAUAUAGAUGUCGCAUGGCAUUUAUAUCAAAGAUUUAUCGCUGAAAGAUGGCCUCGCGUCUGAUUAGCUAGUUGGUGAGGUAACGGCCCACCAAGGCGACGAUCAGUAGCCGGACUGAGAGGUUGAACGGCCACAUUGGGACUGAGAUACGGCCCAGACUCCUACGGGAGGCAGCAGUGGGAAUAUUGGGCAAUGGGCGCAAGCCUGACCCAGCAACGCCGCGUGAAGGAAGAAGGCUUUCGGGUUGUAAACUUCUUUGUCAGGGACGAGUAGAAGACGGUACCUGACGAAUAAGCCACGGCUAACUACGUGCCAGCAGCC
rnacentral:rRNA from 1 species